CCUACGGGGGGCUGCAGUGGGGAAUAUUGGACAAUGGGGGGAACCCUGAUCCAGCCAUGCCGCGUGUGUGAAGAAGGCCCUCGGGUUGUAAAGCACUUUCAGUGAGGAAGAACGCCUGGUGGUUAAUACCCAUCAGGAAAGACAUCACUCACAGAAGAAGCACCGGCUAACUCCGUGCCAGCAGCCGCGGUAAUACGGAGGGUGCGAGCGUUAAUCGGAAUUACUGGGCGUAAAGCGCGCGUAGGUGGCUUGAUAAGCCGGUUGUGAAAGCCCCGGGCGCAACCUGGGAACGGCAUCCGGAACUGUCAAGCUAGAGUGCAGGAGAGGAAGGUAGAAUUCCCGGUGUAGCGGUGAAAUGCGUAGAGAUCGGGAGGAAUACCAGUGGCGAAGGCGGCCUUCUGGACUGACACUGACACUGAGGUGCGAAAGCGUGGGUAGCAAACAGGCUUAGAUACCCUAGUAGUC
rnacentral:rRNA from 1 species